UGCAGUCGACGGCAGCACGGGGGCAACCCUGGUGGCGAGUGGCGAACGGGUGAGUAAUACAUCGGAACGUGCCCAGUCGUGGGGGAUAACUACGCGAAAGCGUAGCUAAUACCGCAUACGAUCUACGGAUGAAAGCGGGGGAUCGCAAGACCUCGCGCGAUUGGAGCGGCCGAUGGCAGAUUAGGUAGUUGGUGGGGUAAAGGCUCACCAAGCCUUCGAUCUGUAGCUGGUCUGAGAGGACGACCAGCCACACUGGGACUGAGACACGGCCCAGACUCCUACGGGAGGCAGCAGUGGGGAAUUUUGGACAAUGGGCGCAAGCCUGAUCCAGCCAUUCCGCGUGCAGGAUGAAGGCCCUCGGGUUGUAAACUGCUUUUGUACGGAACGAAAAGGCGCUUUCUAAUACAGAGCGCUCAUGACGGUACCGUAAGAAUAAGCACCGGCUAACUACGUGCCAGCAGCCGCGGUAAUACGUAGGGUGCAAGCGUUAAUCGGAAUUACUGGGCGUAAAGCGUGCGCAGGCGGUGAUGUAAGACAGAUGUGAAAUCCCCGGGCUCAACCUGGGAACUGCAUUUGUGACUGCAUCGCUGGAGUGCGGCAG
rnacentral:rRNA from 1 species